GAUGAACGCUAGCGGCAGGCCUAAUACAUGCAAGUCGAACGGUGUCUUCGGGCAUAGUGGCGCACGGGUGCGUAACACGUAUGCAACCUACCUUACAUUGGGGGAUAGCCUUUCGAAAGGGAGAUUAAUACCGCAUAAGACAGUAGCUGGGCAUCCAGCAGCUGUUAAAGAUUUAUCGAUGUAAGCUGGGCAUGCGUCCAAUUAGCUAGUUGGUGAGGUAACGGCUCACCAAGGCAAUGAUUGGUAGGGGAACUGAGAGGUCAAUCCCCCACACGGGCACUGAGAUACGGGCCAGACUCCUACGGGAGGCAGCAGUAGGGAAUAUUGGGCAAUGGACGCAAGUCUGACCCAGCCAUGCCGCGUGCAGGAUGAAGGCGUUAUGCGUUGUAAACUGCUUUUAUACAGGAAGAAACGACUCUUGCGAGAGGCAUUGACGGUACUGUAUGAAUAAGCACCGGCUAACUCCGUGCCAGCCGCCGCGGUAAUAC
rnacentral:rRNA from 1 species